rnacentral:rRNA from 1 species
UACGUAGGGACCAAGCGUUGUUCGGAUUUACUGGGCGUAAAGGGCGCGUAGGCGGCGUGUUAAGUCAGCUGUGAAAUCUAUGAGCUUAACUCAUAACGGUCAGCUGAUACUGAUGUGCUAGAGUACAGAAGGGGCAAUCGGAAUUCUUGGUGUAGCGGUGAAAUGCGUAGAUAUCAAGAGGAACACCUGAGGUGAAGACGGGUUGCUGGGCUGAUACUGACGCUGAGGCGCGAAAGCUAGGGUAGCAAACGGG